rnacentral:rRNA from 1 species
AGAGUUUGAUCCUGGCUCAGGACGAACGCUGGCGGCACGCUUAACACAUGCAAGUCGAACGAGAGAAGAGGAGCUUGCUUUUCUGAUCUAGUGGCGGACGGGUGAGUAACACGUGAGCAAUCUGCCUUUCAGAGGGGGAUACCGAUUGGAAACGAUCGUUAAUACCGCAUAACAUAAUUGAACCGCAUGAUUUGAUUAUCAAAGAUUUAUCGCUGAAAGAUGAGCUCGCGUCUGAUUAGCUAGUUGGUAAGGUAACGGCUUACCAAGGCGACGAUCAGUAGCCGGACUGAGAGGUUGAUCGGCCACAUUGGGACUGAGACACGGCCCAGACUCCUACGGGAGGCAGCAGUGGGGAAUAUUGCACAAUGGAGGAAACUCUGAUGCAGCGAUGCCGCGUGAGGGAAGAAGGUUUUAGGAUUGUAAACCUCUGUCUUCAGGGACGAAAAAAGACGGUACCUGAGGAGGAAGCUCCGGCUAACUACGUGCCAGCAGCCGCGGUAAUACGUAGGGAGCGAGCGUUGUCCGGAAUUACUGGGUGUAAAGGGAGCGUAGGCGGGAUCGCAAGUCAGAUGUGAAAACUAUGGGCCUAACCCAUAAACUGCAUUUGAAACUGUGGUUCUUGAGUGAAGUAGAGGUAAGCGGAAUUCCUAGUGUAGCGGUGAAAUGCGUAGAUAUUAGGAGGAACAUCAGUGGCGAAGGCGGCUUACUGGGCUUUAACCGACGCUGAGGCUCGAAAGCGUGGGGAGCAAACAGGAUUAGAUACCCUGGUAGUCCACGCCGUAAACGAUGAUUACUAGGUGUGGGGGGACUGACCCCUUCCGUGCCGCAGCAAACGCAAUAAGUAAUCCACCUGGGGAGUACGACCGCAAGGUUGAAACUCAAAGGAAUUGACGGGGGCCCGCACAAGCAGUGGAGUAUGUGGAUUAAUUCGAAGCAACGCGAAGAACCUUACCAGGUCUUGACAUCGUAUGCAUAGCUCAGAGAUGAGUGAAAUCUCUUCGGAGACAUAUAGACAGGUGGUGCAUGGUUGUCGUCAGCUCGUGUCGUGAGAUGUUGGGUUAAGUCCCGCAACGAGCGCAACCCUUACUGUUAGUUGCUACGCAAGAGCACUCUAGCAGGACUGCCGUUGACAAAACGGAGGAAGGUGGGGAUGACGUCAAAUCAUCAUGCCCCUCAUGACCUGGGCCUCACACGUACUACAAUGGCUGUCAACAGAGGGAAGCAAAGCCGCGAGGUGGAGCGAACCCCUAAAAGCAGUCUUAGUUCGGAUUGUAGGCUGCAACCCGCCUACAUGAAGUCGGAAUUGCUAGUAAUCGCAGAUCAGCAUGCUGCGGUGAAUACGUUCCCGGGCCUUGUACACACCGCCCGUC